UAGGGAAUCUUCGGCAAUGGGGGGAACCCUGACCGAGCAACGCCGCGUGAGUGAAGAAGGUUUUCGGAUCGUAAAGCUCUGUUGUUAAGGAAGAACGAGUGUGAGAAUGGAAAGUUCAUACUGUGACGGUACUUAACCAGAAAGGGACGGCUAACUACGUGCCAGCAGCCGCGGUAAUACGUAGGUCCCGAGCGUUGUCCGGAUUUAUUGGGCGUAAAGCGAGCGCAGGCGGUUAGAAAAGUCUGAAGUGAAAGGCAGUGGCUCAACCAUUGUAGGCUUUGGAAACUGUUUAACUUGAGUGCAGAAGGGGAGAGUGGAAUUCCAUGUGUAGCGGUGAAAUGCGUAGAUAUAUGGAGGAACACCGGUGGCGAAAGCGGCUCUCUGGUCUGUAACUGACGCUGGGGCUCGAAAGCGUGGGGAGCGAACAGG
rnacentral:rRNA from 1 species